CUUUUCUGCCGCUAAGUCUACUUUACUUUACCUUUCUCGCUGUCGUUGAGGGGCUAAUGCAUCUUACUGUUGUUUGUUUAAGCAUGAGUUAUUGAAAUGUACAUCCCCUCUGACUACAGCGUGGUGCACAAUGCAGUUGUUUAAAGCUGUAUACUCACAUGCUGUCUGUAGAGUGAGACUUCCACAAAGGCAAACCUGAGGACACCUAAAAGAUGCAUGAUGGGAAACGCAAUGAGCUGCUUGUCAGGGGAGAGACAAUUCACAGGAGAGGGCCUAUGAAAGCUAUAUACAUUCCCAAUUUACUCCCAUCUCUGCGGUUUUUAAGGAUGCUGUUUUGAAGGAAGCAUCGACCUUGUCGCCACCUUGACGGGUCACAGGCAGGAGGAGGCGGCGAGGUCCUGCAGAGCAUUAUCCAGUUCUCA
ensembl:lncRNA